AGCCUGGACACAGGUGCUGCAUGGCUGUCGUCAGCUCGUGUCGUGAGAUGUUGGGUUAAGUCCCGCAACGAGCGCAACCCUUGUCAUUAAUUGCCAUCAUUUAGUUGGGCACUUUAAUGAGACUGCCGGUGACAAACCGGAGGAAGGUGGGGAUGACGUCAAGUCCUCAUGGCCCUUAUGGGUAGGGCUUCACACGUCAUACAAUGGUCGGUACAGAGGGUUGCCAAGCCGCGAGGUGGAGCCAAUCCCAGAAAGCCGAUCGUAGUCCGGAUCGCAGUCUGCAACUCGACUGCGUGAAGUCGGAAUCGCUAGUAAUCGCGGAUCAGCAUGUCGCGGUGAAUACGUUCCCGGGUCUUGUACACACCGCCCGUCACACCAUGGGAGUGGGUUCUACCAGAAGUAGUUAGCCUAACCGUAAGGAGGGCGAUUACCACGGUAGGAUUCAUGACUGGGGUGAAGUCGUAACAAGGUAACC
rnacentral:rRNA from 1 species